rnacentral:rRNA from 1 species
UACGUAGGGUGCGAGCGUUGUCCGGAAUUAUUGGGCGUAAAGAGCUCGUAGGCGGUCUGUCGCGUCGGUCGUGAAAACUUGGGGCUUAACCCUGAGCUUGCGGUCGAUACGGGCAUGACUGGAGUUCGGCAGGGGAGACUGGAAUUCCUGGUGUAGCGGUGAAAUGCGCAGAUUUCAGGAGGAACACCGGUGGCGAAGGCGGCCUGCUGGGCAGUUGCUGACACUGAGGCGCGACAGCGUGGGGAGCAAACAGG